rnacentral:rRNA from 1 species
UUAUCAGCUUGUAGUGGGCGUCGCUUUUGUGGUGCUCACUUUAGGAGCUUGGUAUCCUCAUUUUGAUGUUUGGGUGCGGGUGUCAUUAGCUUGGCGUCCGUAAACUGCAUCGAUUUUACCUUGAAUAAAUCGGAGUGCUCAAAGCAGGCUCUAAUGCUUGAACGAUUGUGCAUGGGAUAAUGGAACAGGGCGUCUCCGCCCUUUCAUUGGUUUAAGUGGAGACGUAAUGAUAGAUAGGAACGGACGGCGUGAUUCGUACGAGAGGGUGAAAGGUGAAAUUUUUAGAUCCUUCUCAGACGGACGGAUGCGAAGGCGUUUCACGAGAACGUUUUCAUUGAUCAAGAGCGAAAGAAGCAGGUUCGAAAACGAUUAGAUACCGUUGUAGUUGCUUCCGUAAACGAUUUAGACUUGCGAUUGGCAAGGGUUGUUAAUAACCUUGUCAGCAGCUUCCGGGAAACCAAAGUGUUUGUAGCCCAGGGGGAGUAUGGUUGCAAAGCUGAAACUUAAAGAAAUUGACGGAAGGGCACCACCAGGCGUGGAGCCUGCGGCUUAAUUUGACUCAACACGGGACAACUUGCCCGGCCCGGACACAGGAAUGAUUGACAGAUUGAGAGCUCUUUCUUGAUUCUGUGGGUGGUGGUGCAUGGCCGUUCUUAGUCGGUGGAGUGAUUUGUCUGGUUAAUUCCGAUAACGGACGAGACUCUGACAUGCUAACUAGUUUCGCUUGCCCUUGGUCAGGUGGGAACUUCUUAGAUGGAUUGGCGCUUUUUUUCAAUGCGCAUGAAAUAGAGCUAUAACAGGUCUGUGAUGCCCUUAGAUGUUCGGGACCGCACGCGCGCUACAAUGAAUUAGUCAAUAGGAUUUAGCUGAGGCGAAAGCUUGUCGCAAGACAUUUCGGCGAAUCGAACAAACUAGUUCAUGCUUGGGAUAGUUGCUUGUAAUUCUUCAACUUGAACGAGGAAUGCCUAGUAAUGAUGAGUCAUCAGCUCAUCGUGAUUACGUCCCUGCCCUUUGUACACACCGCCCGUCGCUAGUACCGACUAGUUGGUUUAGUGAGUCGCUUGGAUUUAUAGUAGGGAAGGGCGCAAGUCCGGAACUGCAGUGAAGAAGAAUGGCAAACUUGGUCAACCGGAGGAACUAAAAGUCGUAAC